UACGUAGGGCGCAAGCGUUGUCCGGAAUUAUUGGGCGUAAAGAGCUCGUAGGCGGUCUGUUACGUCCGCUGUGAAAACCCGGGGCUUAACCCUGGGCUGGCAGUGGAUACGGGUAGACUAGAGGCAGGUAGGGGAGAAUGGAAUUCCCGGUGUAGCGGUGAAAUGCGCAGAUAUCAGGAGGAACACCUAUUGCGAAGGCAGCUCGCUGGGACGUAACUGACGCUGAGACGCGAAAGCGUGGGGAGCAAACAGG
rnacentral:rRNA from 1 species